rnacentral:lncRNA from 1 species
UCUGAACCACCAAGGAAUUGCAGCCUCUGUAUCUGUCUCUCCCUCUCUGCCUUGGGCUCAGGGUUCUAAUAAAACAAAUGUCAGACACAGAAGAAGUGGAGGAAGUGCAGUUCAUGCAAAACCUCUCUGCACCAAAGAUGGCUGAUGGUGACAACGUGGAUUUUGAUGACAUCCACAGGAAGCGUCAGGAGACCUGUCUGAGCUCCAGUCUCUGAGUCUCACUUCAUCCCGGAGGAAGAAGGAGUAAGAGGAGCUCAUCUCCCUCGUAAACAGGAUUGUGUAGGAGAAACGCUUUGCGGAGAGGGCAGAGCAGCGGCGGGUUCGUGCGGAGAGGGAGAAGGAAUGGCAGCUCAGGGUUGCUUGCUCUGCAGGAGGAGAAAGAGAGGAAGGAGGCAGAGCAAUGUAGGAAGAACGAUGAUGACGCUAAAAAAAAGGCUCUCACUAACAUGACCCACCAGUAUGGAGGCAUUCAGCAGAAAAUGAAAACCGUAAAGGAGCCAAAAAUCAGAGGGAGAAGAUUCUUGCUGACCGCAGGAAAUCUCUCAGCAUCGACAAUCUGAAUGAGGACACACUCAAGGCAACAGCCAAUGAGAUGUGACAGUGGAUGAUGGAGCUGGAGGCUGAGAAGUUUGACCUCAGUGAGAAACUCAAGUACGAUAUCAUGAAAAAUAAGACGGGGGGCACCAGACCAAGCAUCUCUAAGUAGAAAUUUGGACUGUCAAUUUUUACACAAUGUGAGAGGUCCCAGGCAGUGGGUACAUCAGAGGUGACCUACAGUACUACUGAACAGGUGAACAACAGAUUAACCAGCUUCUCACUCGGGUCCAGGAUCACCAAAG